rnacentral:rRNA from 1 species
GACGAACGCUGGCGGCGUGCCUAAUACAUGCAAGUUGAGCGAUGAAGAUUGGUGCUUGCACCAAUUUGAAGAGCAGCGAACGGGUGAGUAACGCGUGGGGAAUCUGCCUUUGAGCGGGGGACAACAUUUGGAAACGAAUGCUAAUACCGCAUAACAACUUUAAACAUAAGUUUUAAGUUUGAAAGAUGCAAUUGCAUCACUCAAAGAUGAUCCCGCGUUGUAUUAGCUAGUUGGUGAGGUAAAGGCUCACCAAGGCGAUGAUACAUAGCCGACCUGAGAGGGUGAUCGGCCACAUUGGGACUGAGACACGGCCCAAACUCCUACGGGAGGCAGCAGUAGGGAAUCUUCGGCAAUGGACGAAAGUCUGACCGAGCAACGCCGCGUGAGUGAAGAAGGUUUUCGGAUCGUAAAACUCUGUUGGUAGAGAAGAACGUUGGUGAGAGUGGAAAGCUCAUCAAGUGACGGUAACUACCCAGAAAGGGACGGCUAACGACGUG